rnacentral:rRNA from 1 species
GGAUGCGAUCAUACCAGCACUAAAGCACCGGAUACCAUCAAAACUCCGAAGUUAAGCGUGCUUGGGCGAGAGUAGUACUAGGAUGGGUGACCUCCUGGGAAGUCCUCGUGUUGCAUUCC